GAUGAACGCUGGCGGCGUGCCUAAUACAUGCAAGUCGAGCGAAUGGAUUAAGAGCUUGCUCUUAUGAAGUUAGCGGCGGACGGGUGAGUAACACGUGGGUAACCUGCCCAUAAGACUGGGAUAACUCCGGGAAACCGGGGCUAAUACCGGAUAACAUUUUGAACCGCAUGGUUCGAAAUUGAAAGGCGGCUUCGGCUGUCACUUAUGGAUGGACCCGCGUCGCAUUAGCUAGUUGGUGAGGUAACGGCUCACCAAGGCAACGAUGCGUAGCCGAGCUGAGAGGGUGCUCGGCCACACUGGGACUGAGACACGGCCCAGACUCCUACGGGAGGCAGCAGUAGGGAUUCUUCCGCAAUGGACGAAAGUCUGACGGAGCAACGCCGCGUGAGUGAUGAAGGCUUUCGGGUCGUAAAACUCUGUUGUUAAGGAAGAACAAGUGCUAGUUGAAUAAGCUGGCACCUUGACGGUACCUAACCAGAAAGCCACGGCUAACUACGUGCCAGCCGCCGCGGUAA
rnacentral:rRNA from 1 species